rnacentral:tRNA from 1 species
AGACUUAGGUUAACCAUUUACCAAGGACCUUCAAAGUCCUAAACAGGGGGUACCACCCCUAGCCUCUG